rnacentral:rRNA from 1 species
UAGAGUUUGAUCCUGGCUCAGAAUCAACGCUGGCGGCGUGCCUAACACAUGCAAGUCGAACGAGAAAGUGGAGCAAUCCAUGAGUACAGUGGCGUACGGGUGAGUAACACGUGACUAACCUACCCUCGAGUGGGGAAUAACCUCGGGAAACCGGGGCUAAUACCGCAUAACAUCUUCGGAUCAAAUGCGUAAGCAGCUUGAGGAGGGGGUCGCGGCCGAUUAGCUAGUUGGCGGGGUAAUGGCCCACCAAGGCAAUGAUCGGUAGCCGGCCUGAGAGGGCGCACGGCCACACUGGAACUGAAACACGGUCCAGACUCCUACGGGAGGCAGCAGUGGGGAAUUUUGCGCAAUGGGGGAAACCCUGACGCAGCAACGCCGCGUGGAGGAUGAAGCCCUUCGGGGUGUAAAGCUCUUUCGACGGGAACGAUAAUGAGGUACCCGGAGAAGAAGCUGCGGCUAACUACGUGCCAGCAGCCGCGGUAAUACGUAGGCAGCAAGCGUUGUUCGGAAUUACUGGGCGUAAAGAGUGUGUAGGCGGUUCUCUAUGUUCGGUGUGAAAUCUCCCGGCUUAACUGGGAGGGUGCGCCGAAAACUGGAGGGCUUGAGUAUGGGAGAGGAAAGCGGAAUUCCUGGUGUAGCGGUGAAAUGCGUAGAUAUCAGGAGGAACACCUGCGGUGUAGACGGCUUUCUGGACCAUCACUGACGCUGAGACACGAAAGCGUGGGUAGCAAACAGGAUUAGAUACCCUGGUAGUCCACGCCCUAAACGAUGCAUACUUGGUGUGAGCCGUUCAUUCGGUUCGUGCCGGAGCUAACGCGUUAAGUAUGCCGCCUGGGGAGUACGGUCACAAGGCUGAAACUCAAAGGAAUUGACGGGGGCCCGCCCAAGCGGUGGAGCAUGUGGUUUAAUUCGACGCAACGCGAAGAACCUUACCUGGGCUCGAACGGCUUCGGACCAUCCUUGGAAACAGGGACUUCCCGCAAGGGACUGGAGUCGAGGUGCUGCAUGGCUGUCGUCAGCUCGUGUCGUGAGAUGUUGGGUUAAGUCCCGCAACGAGCGCAACCCUUGUCCUGUGUUGGCAUGCCGCAAGGCGCAACUCUCAGGAGACCGCCAGCGAUAAGUUGGAGGAAGGUGGGGAUGACGUCAAGUCAUCAUGGCCUUUAUGUCCAGGGCCACACACGUGCUACAAUGGGCGGUACAAAGCGCUGCCAACCCGCGAGGGGGAGCUAAUCGCCAAAAACCGUCCUCAGUUCGGAUUGCAGGCUGCAACUCGCCUGCAUGAAGCUGGAAUCGCUAGUAAUGCUAUAUCAGAACGAUAGCGUGAAUACGUUCCCGGGCCUUGUACACACCGCCCGUCACAUCACGAAAGUGGGUUGUACUACAAGUCUGUAUGCUAACC